rnacentral:rRNA from 1 species
GGGGAAUCUUGCGCAAUGGGCGAAAGCCUGACGCAGCAACGCCGCGUGGGGGAUGACGGCCUUCGGGUUGUAAACCUCUUUCGACAUCGACGAAGCCUUCGGGUGACGGUAGGUGUAGAAGAAGCACCGGCUAACUACGUGCCAGCAGCCGCGGUAAUACGUAGGGUGCGAGCGUUGUCCGGAAUUAUUGGGCGUAAAGAGCUCGUAGGCGGUUUGUCGCGUCGGCCGUGAAAACCUGCCGCUUAACGGUGGGCGUGCGGUCGAUACGGGCAGACUUGAGUUCGGUAGGGGAGACUGGAAUUCCUGGUGUAGCGGUGAAAUGCGCAGAUAUCAGGAGGAACACCGGUGGCGAAGGCGGGUCUCUGGGCCGAUACUGACGCUGAGGAGCGAAAGCGUGGGGAGCGAAC